rnacentral:rRNA from 1 species
ACUACGGGUGGCUGCAGUGAGGAAUAUUGGUCAAUGGCCGCAGGGCUGAACCAGCCAAGUCGCGUGAGGGAUGACGGUCCUAUGGAUUGUAAACCUCUUUUGUCAGGGAGCAAAGGGCGCCACGUGUGGCGCUUUGCGAGUACCUGAAGAAAAAGCAUCGGCUAACUCCGUGCCAGCAGCCGCGGUACUACGGAGGAUGCGAGCGUUAUCCGGAUUUAUUGGGGUUAAAGGGUGCGCAGGCGGAAUGUCAAGUCAGCGGUAAAAUUUCGGGGCUCAACCCCGUCGUGCCGUUGAAACUGGCGUUCUUGAGUGAGCGAGAAGUAUGCGGAAUGCGUGGUGUAGCGGUGAAAUGCAUAGAUAUCACGCAGAACUCCGAUUGCGAAGGCAGCAUACCGGCGCUCAACUGACGCUCAUGCACGAAAGCGUGGGUAUCGAACAGGAUUAGAUACCCUGGUAGUC